GCCAACAGUUGACUCAAACUCAUGACCUAAUCCAAUUAGGUCAGCCCAAAGGCAUCAAUUAAUCAGAACACCUUCUAAUUAAUUUUUGAAUUAAAUUUUUUUAAUUCAUGCAAGUCCACAAGUCAAGAUUGACAUCUAACAAUGGGUCAUGACUACUCAAAAGAUCUAAAAUUUGAUGAACACAUCAAAAUUAUCCUUCCAUGGUGAGUUACCGCACAAUUCAAUCCUUCAAUCACACAACAUCCUAGAUAAG
rnacentral:lncRNA from 1 species